ACGUUCAUCGUCCUUGGAUUUGAGUAAGCGUGAUGGCUUAGUGAUACCCAGUGAAUCCAACGAGAAGAACGCCUUAACCUCGCUUGUGAGUACACCAUCGACGUUACCUUCGCAGCUGCAGAUGUGAAAACUUCUGUGUCCUCCGGUUACACUAGCGGUUGCAAUAGGGCAGGCGGCUUUCCCAAACGACAAUUAUCUACACCAAUUAGUACUCGAGGUACGGCAUCGACGUAAGAGGUGAACGGUAAACCCUUCAGAUGUGGAUACGCAGAUUGCAGUUGUUUACCAUCUAUCGUCUGCGCGGGCAAGGCUAGAUUGCUGACCGUGUGUACCUUUGUCAGCUCAUGCACUGGAGCCCCUUCGUAUGCACCUGAUAUUUGCACUGCCAGCUGGACGGAAGCCUUUUCUUCUCUGGUAGUAUCCCCGGUCCACUUGAGACACAAUGGCCGUGACGUUCCGAUCAGCCCUAAUUCGUCCAUCAGGCUAUGAUCGAUGAAGGUCGAUGACGAACCUUCGUCGAGAAAGGCGUACGUUCGAACCGUCCUGCCAUCCUUCCCAUACAUAGUUACCGAGAACCAUGUAGCAACCUAUGGUGCAUUGCCUCGCACCCAUUGGAUCCGCAAACUGUUUUAAGCGACGGUCAUCGUUUGGAAUCGCUGGCAUGUAUCCAGUGCGGCACACUCUCCCUGGCAGGCUGAACAUUUAGAAACAUUUGUAUGUGGGUAC